rnacentral:rRNA from 1 species
CCCUUAGAGUUUGAUCCUGGCUCAGGAUGAACGCUGGCGGCGUGCUUAACACAUGCAAGUCGAGCGAAGCGAUUUAAGUGAAGUUUUCGGAUGGAUCUUAAAUUGACUGAGCGGCGGACGGGUGAGUAACGCGUGGAUAACCUGCCUCACACAGGGGGAUAACAGUUAGAAAUGACUGCUAAUACCGCAUAAGCGCACGGUACCGCAUGGUACAGUGUGAAAAACUCCGGUGGUGUGAGAUGGAUCCGCGUCUGAUUAGGUAGUUGGUGAGGUAACGGCCCACCAAGCCGACGAUCAGUAGCCGACCUGAGAGGGUGACCGGCCACAUUGGGACUGAGACACGGCCCAAACUCCUACGGGAGGCAGCAGUGGGGAAUAUUGCACAAUGGGCGAAAGCCUGAUGC